rnacentral:misc_RNA from 1 species
GAUGAAGAACGUAGCAAAAUGCGAUAAGAAAUGUGAAUUGCAGAAUUCAGUGAAUCAUCGAAUCUUUGAACGCACAUUGCGCCCGCCAGUAUUCUGGCGGGCAUGCCUGUUCGAGCGUCAUUUCAACCCUCAAGCACAGCUUGGUGUUGGGACUCGCGUUAAUUCGCGUUCCUCAAAUUGAUUGGCGGUCACGUCGAGCUUCCAUAGCGUAGUAGUAAAACCCUCGUUACUGGUAAUCGUCGCGGCCACGCCGUUAAACCCCAACUUCUGAAUGUUGACCUCGGAUCAGGUAGGAAUACCCGCUGAACUUAAGCAUAUCAAUAAGCGGAGGA